ensembl:lncRNA
AUACAAUAUCCCUCCACCCUCCCCCAUAAAUGGAUAAUCCAGCCUUCAAUUAUGCAGAACCCAGCAAGUCUUAGACGUGUAAUCCAUCAGGAUUUGAUUUACAAACACAGAAAAAUUCCUGACUCCAUUUGCCCUGGUUUGAACUAGGUUUGAUAACUUAGUUAUGACUGUCUUCUUCACUCUGUGGCACACAUCACACAGUUAUUCUUGGAGAGGUGCAGGCGCUGACGCAACCAUGAACCACUAAUUACAAGCUGCUGACAUUCUGCUUGUCUAUGCAGCUUUGAAGUUCUAAAGUCUGUUUUUCUCUCUGAUGGGCUUGCUCAAUUGCAUUCAUCUCCAUUGUACGCUUAGCAUCUGAAGCCUGUGGUAGCCAGCUGGUCUCAAAGUCAUCUGGGAUACAUUUAUUUUGAUUAAAUUGAUCAGAUUUCUAUUUACUGGAUAGAAUUUUUCAUCAUACUGAAUACAGCUGUGUUUACAGGGGAUCUGUCGAAGAAGAAGCAAACAAAACCCUACAGUCAGUCCGAGCGAAGCACAGAGCAUUCAGAACUUCAAGGAGUUAAAGCUGAGGAGGGUUGCUUUCACAUUAACAAGAAAAUUCUGCAUGCAGCUGCUUUGGCCAUGCUCUCUAGCUAGUCAGGAAAUGGGUGUUGAGCUGAAGCUGAAAAUACAAGCUGCAAUCAAGCCCGAUCCAGCCAAGUGACAGACUUCCUGUGUAAACUGGUCAGAAAUCGCCCUCUUUUCAUGUCUCUACAUGCAUGCACAUGCAUUUAAAUCCAUGCUGCAAGGCUGAUCUUCUCCCUGGGGACACUGGUACAGUCACCUAGCUCAUCAGUUUCUUCCUUGACAGCACCGGGGACAUCCAGACUACAAUUUACAGUUCUUCCACCCAUAGACUGGGUUAUAAAUUAUGCCUUCCUCCCUAGAAUGAGAAUGCAGGGCCAGCGGCAGACAAUCGAACGGCAUUCCGCCUCUCCUCUUUCUUCUCAGGCGCUCCCUCGCUCUGCCUUUCUCCAACUGUGCCUCGUCGGCAGGCAGGCAGACACAUCAGAGACCAGGUUUAUCCAUCUUCAGCUCCACUCUCAAGUAAAAUGCCACCACAUCUCGCCAUGGGUCUUUCCUCCCAGACUAAUCCCCAAGAGCAGCCUGAGCUGGGUGCGCCGUGGGGAAGACCAGUGGGCAUUGGACGGAUCAAAUUCCUAACUUCUCCUGCCCGGUCCUUGGCGUUCUUUCUAUCCAUCCCACCCCGGGUCUUCUCCCGCAUCACCCUGUCCUCCGAGUCCCCUCGCCUGCCUGCGAGGGGACCCCGGCCAGAGCUCCACCAGCAGGUCCUUGUUCUGCGCUGCGUAGACCGAUGAUGCUGGGUUCCCGUGCGCCAUGAAGAAGCCGAAGCCGGGAGACAGCAACAGCAGCUCAGGUAACCAGGAGAAGCUUGGCGUGCCCACAGCGAUGCAGCCCUGGAGC